GUCGUCAUCACUGUGAUCGUUUGUGUAGCUGUGCUGCUGCUGCUGUUUGUGCUGAUUUUGAUCCUAAUCUACGCAUGAUUUUCACCUUUAAAGAACACAAGAAAUGGAGCAGCAGCACAGCACAAAAAGGAUCAUGUCUAUGAGGAGAUACAGCAGACGCCAAACUCAGGAAAUAAGAUGAACUCGAUUUAUGCCACUGCCAACUUUCCCACAAACCCCUCUGCCUCGCAGCAUUACUCCAGCGUCAACUUCCAAACAGCUCUGACAGAGUUGGUGGUGAGGCAGUGAUCCUCAAACCCAGCUCUGCUGCCUACGAAUAUUCUACUGUGAAGUAAAAUCCAGCCUGCUGUACAGUCAGCCAGCCGUCCAGCUCUUCAGAGGAUCCUCUCUACACAACAGUCAACAUGCCACAGCAGCACUGAGCAAAGAUCAGCCCUGUCAAUUUAUGACAUUUACUACAUGUAUGGUCAAAAUUUCAGGUCAUUCAUUGCUGAUGUGGUUGUUUACAAUGAAUCCAGCUCAGACUUCAGGAACUUCACCAAGAUAUUCAGAUGUUGGACGCUGUCAACUUAAAUCCUAUCAAUCCAGAGACACACGAUUCACUUCAUCAUCCACAUUGUUUGAGUCACCAAGGUGUGAACAGGACUUUUGCACCGAUCUGUAAUUACUAGAGGAGUCUUUCUUGUCUUGCUUCUGAAGCUCAGCUUUAUAUUACAGCUGAUUAUUAUCUCAUUACCUGAUUUAACUUAUCACAGAUACUGUAUAUUGUUGACCUGGUCUGAAUCAGAGUCCUAGAAAUAAAAGAAAAUCCUUUCCCUACAAUUCAGUGAUAUUUUUAUGUGAAAACUUGCACAUUGAGAACAUAUUUUGAGAAAAUAUUUUUGACGACUACAUUGACCAUUUGAAUUCACAUUUAAUUUCCAGAUAAAGUGGCUAUUCCUCUUUUUGUUUUGGUCAGUUAUUUACUCAUUUAGUGACGUUAAACACACCAACUAGACAACUGCACUGGGAUCAAAUCAUUAUUUUACAUUACCUUGACAGCUGAGUUGGUGAUGGUGCAGUGGAUAAGAUACAUGCCUUGAGACCUGGGUUCAAUCUCCCCCUGUGACCCCUCCACUGAUGUGUCCCUGCGCAAGACACUUAACCCCUAAUUCCUCCAGAGGCGUGCAACCACUGACAUAAAAAGCUUUGGAUAAAAGCGACUUAAUUUAAAGAGACUGUUUUAAAACUGGUAGUUUGAGUUAUUAUAUUAUAUAUUUCAUAGUUUUAUGUACAAGAAAACAAUCAUUAAAAUGUUGCUUAUUAUUUACAA